UGCAAGUCGAGCGGACUGAUGGGAGCUUGCUCCCUGAUGUCAGCGGCGGACGGGUGAGUAACACGUGGGCAACCUGCCUGUAAGACUGGGAUAACUUCGGGAAACCGGAGCUAAUACCGGAUAAUGUUUUUUAACACAUGUUAGAAAACUGAAAGAUGGCGUCACGCUAUCACUUACAGAUGGGCCCGCGGCGCAUUAACUAGUUGGUGAGGUAACGGCUCACCAAGGCGACGAUGCGUAGCCGACCUGAGAGGGUGAUCGGCCACACUGGGACUGAGACACGGCCCAAACUCCUACGGGAGGCAGCAGUAGGGAAUCUUCCGCAAUGGACGAAAGUCUGACGGAGCAACGCCGCGUGAGUGAUGAAGGUUUUCGGAUCGUAAAACUCUGUUGUUAGGGAAGAACAAGUAUCGUUCGAAUAGGGCGGUACCUUGACGGUCCCUAACCAGAAAGCCACGGCUAACUACGUGCCAGCAGCCGCGGUAAUACGUAGGUGGCAAGCGUUGUCCGGAAUUAUUGGGCGUAAAGCGCGCGCAGGCGGUCUCUUAAGUCUGAUGUGAAAGCCCCCGGCUCAACCGGGGAGGGUCAUUGGAAACUGGGAGACUUGAGUGCAGAAAAGAAGAGCGGAAUUCCACGUGUAGCGGUGAAAUGCGUAAAGAUGUGGAGGAACACCAGUGGCGAAGGCGGCUCUUUGGUCUGUAACUGACGCUGAGGCGCGAAAGCGUGGGGAGCAAACAGGAUUAGAUACCCUGGUAGUCCACGCCGUAAACGAUGAGUGCUAAGUGUUAGAGGGUUUCCGCCCUUUAGUGCUGCAGCAAACGCAUUAAGCACUCCGCCUGGGAGUACGGCCGCAAGGCUGAAACUCAAAGGAAUUGACGGGGGCCCGCACAAGCGGUGGAGCAUGUGGUUUAAUUCGAGCAACGCGAAGAACCUUACCAGGUCUU
rnacentral:rRNA from 1 species